AAAAGGUGGAGGCAGUUCUUGGGGCUUCCUUCCACUGCUCAGGGGGCUAGCUGGGCAUUGGUCAGCCGGUGAGCUCCACCAAGCAGACUAAUUGUGAGUGCACAAAUAUGCAUGUGGAUUGAUUCACAUGAAACAGUGAAGUUACAAAGGAGUGUCCUCAGCUGGAGGAAUAAGCCUACAAAUACCCACUCCAGUACUACAAGUACAAGACAACUGCUGUUUUCUACUUAUCCUCAUGCUGAAUUUGAAAGACUGGAAAGAAAAAUGUCCAGAACAAUAAAGCACUGGGAUUGGAAAUUAAAGGAAUUGCCCAAGUCUUACAUAUUCCUAACCUAGUUAUAAACAGGAAUUCCU